GUAUUACUCCCCCGUCUCGAAAUUCUUGUCAUAGAUUUGUCUAAAUACGAAUGUAUCAAGUUAUAUUUUAUUAUUAGAUAAAUCUAUAUCUAGACAAAUUUAAGACAAGAAUUUUGGGACGGAGGAAGUAUUAU
rfam:Triticum aestivum genome assembly, contig: Triticum_aestivum_CS42_TGACv1_scaffold_114159_2AS